UACGUAGGGGCCGAGCGUUGUCCGGAGUUAUUGGGCGUAAAGCGCGCGCAGGCGGCUUCGCGCGCCCGCCGUGAAAGCCCCCGGCUUAACCGGGGAGAGUCGGUGGGGACGGCGGAGCUUGAGGGCGGGAGAGGUCGGUGGAAUUCCCGGUGUAGUGGUGAAAUGCGUAGAGAUCGGGAGGAACACCUGUGGCGAAGGCGGCCGACUGGGCCGACCCUGACGCUG
rnacentral:rRNA from 1 species